GACGAACGCUGGCGGCGUGCUUAACACAUGCAAGUCGAACGGAAAGGCCCUGCUUUUGUGGGGUGCUCGAGUGGCGAACGGGUGAGUAACACGUGAGUAACCUGCCCUUGACUUUGGGAUAACUUCAGGAAACUGGGGCUAAUACCGGAUAGGAGCUCCUGCUGCAUGGUGGGGGUUGGAAAGUUUCGGCGGUUGGGGAUGGACUCGCGGCUUAUCAGCUUGUUGGUGGGGUAGUGGCUUACCAAGGCUUUGACGGGUAGCCGGCCUGAGAGGGUGACCGGCCACAUUGGGACUGAGAUACGGCCCAGACUCCUACGGGAGGCAGCAGUGGGGAAUAUUGCACAAUGGGCGGAAGCCUGAUGCAGCAACGCCGCGUGCGGGAUGACGGCCUUCGGGUUGUAAACCGCUUUCGCCUGUGACGAAGCGUGAGUGACGGUAAUGGGUAAAGAAGCACCGGCUAACUACGUGCCAGCAGCCGCGGUGAUACGUAGGGUGCGAGCGUUGUCCGGAUUUAUUGGGCGUAAAGGGCUCGUAGGUGGUUGAUCGCGUCGGAAGUGUAAUCUUGGGGCUUAACCCUGAGCGUGCUUUCGAUACGGGUUGACUUGAGGAAGGUAGGGGAGAAUGGAAUUCCUGGUGGAGCGGUGGAAUGCGCAGAUAUCAGGAGGAACACCAGUGGCGAAGGCGGUUCUCUGGGCCUUUCCUGACGCUGAGGAGCGAAAGCGUGGGGAGCGAACAGGCUUAGAUACACUGGUAGUCCACGCUGUAAACGGUGGGUACUAGGUGUGGGGUCCAUUCCACGGGUUCCGUGCCGUAGCUAACGCUUUAAGUACCCCGCCUGGGGAGUACGGCCGCAAGGCUAAAACUCAAAGGAAUUGACGGGGCCCCGCACAAGCGGCGGAGCAUGCGGAUUAAUUCGAUGCAACGCGUAGAACCUUACCUGGGUUUGACAUGGAUCGGGAGUGCUCAGAGAUGGGUGUGCCUCUUUUGGGGUCGGUUCACAGGUGGUGCAUGCCUGUCGUCAGCUCGUGUCGUGAGAUGUUGGGUUAAGUCCCGCAACGAGCGCAACCCUUGUUCACUGUUGCCAGCACGUUAUGGUGGGGACUCAGUGGAGACCGCCGGGGUCAACUCGGAGGAAGGUGGGGAUGACGUCAAGUCCUCAUGCCCCUUAUGUCCAGGGCUUCACGCAUGCUACAAUGGCUGGUACAGAGAGUGGCGAGCCUGUGAGGGUGAGCGAAUCUCGGAAAGCCGGUCUCAGUUCGGAUUGGGGUCUGCAACUCGACCUCAUGAAGUCGGAGUCGCUAGUAAUCGCAGAUCAGCAACGCUGCGGUGAAUACGUUCCCGGGGCU
rnacentral:rRNA from 1 species